AUUGAACGCUGGCGGCAUGCUUUACACAUGCAAGUCGAACGGUAACAGGCCGCAAGGUGCUGACGAGUGGCGAACGGGUGAGUAAUGCAUCGGAACGUGCCCAGUCGUGGGGGAUAACGCAGCGAAAGCUGCGCUAAUACCGCAUACGAUCUAUGGAUGAAAGCGGGGGACCGUAAGGCCUCGCGCGAUUGGAGCGGCCGAUGUCAGAUUAGGUAGUUGGUGGGGUAAAGGCUCACCAAGCCGACGAUCUGUAGCUGGUCUGAGAGGACGACCAGCCACACUGGGACUGAGACACGGCCCAGACUCCUACGGGAGGCAGCAGUGGGGAAUUUUGGACAAUGGGGGCAACCCUGAUCCAGCAAUGCCGCGUGCAGGAAGAAGGCCUUCGGGUUGUAAACUGCUUUUGUACGGAACGAAACGGCUCUGGUUAAUACCUGGGGCUAAUGACGGUACCGUAAGAAUAAGCACCGACUAACUACGUGCCAGCCGCCGCGGUAACAC
rnacentral:rRNA from 1 species